rnacentral:misc_RNA from 1 species
GAACGUUAUCAGAAAACAAAGUGAUCCCUAUUUACGUGGUCUCACAAAAUUUACCUACCACUCUAUAAAUAAAAUUUCGAGUACACCAACUAAGCAAAGUUUAAUGACAAAUAUCACAACAACAAAUCUGUGCGUGCUCCCAGAAAACGCGUGAUUAGAACCAACACAAAAAUAUGAUCCUAAAACCAACAGAAAACUGCAACCACUAGUGUCAAACCCAAUUGUCCAAUGGAUAGAGCUGCCAAUGUAGUAGAAUCGGAGGUUCCUGGAGCUGGCACUGGAGUGACCGCAUUCACACCCGCGGUUGUGGCUGGAGCAACUGCUGAUAUGGUUGGUGAUCCAGCAAUUGGAGAAAGAGCAGGCGCCGCGCCAGUGUCAGUACUCAAUCCACAGUUGCUGACAGAAGGAGCAGAUACAUGGCAAGCAGCAGGAAGAGCCAUAGCUUUAGUGACAUUAAGAACAACACCCAACUGAGCACUGUUUUUAAAACCCU